UGGGGGAUAUUGCACAAUGGGCGCAAGCCUGAUGCAGCCAUGCCGCGUGUAUGAAGAAGGCCUUCGGGUUGUAAAGUACUUUCAGCGGGGAGGAAGGCGAUAAGGUUAAUAACCUUGUCGAUUGACGUUACCCGCAGAAGAAGCACCGGCUAACUCCGUGCCAGCAGCCGCGGUAAUACGGAGGGUGCAAGCGUUAAUCGGAAUUACUGGGCGUAAAGCGCACGCAGGCGGUCUGUCAAGUCGGAUGUGAAAUCCCCGGGCUCAACCUGGGAACUGCAUUCGAAACUGGCAGGCUAGAGUCUUGUAGAGGGGGGUAGAAUUCCAGGUGUAGCGGUGAAAUGCGUAGAGAUCUGGAGGAAUACCGGUGGCGAAGGCGGCCCCCUGGACAAAGACUGACGCUCAGGUGCGAAAGCGUGGGGAGCAAACA
rnacentral:rRNA from 1 species